GUGCUCACUUCAGCAGCACAUAUGCUAAAAUUGGAACAUACAGGGAAGACAUAUCCUCUGCGCAAGGAUGACACCAAAAUUUGUGAGGUGUUCCACAUUUUU
ensembl:snRNA U6 U6 spliceosomal RNA